AACUUUUGACGGUGGAUCUCUUGGCUCACGCAUCGAUGAAGAACGCAGCCAGCUGCGAUAAGUAGUGUGAAUUGCAGAAUUCAGUGAAUCAUCGAAUCUUUGAACGCAAAUGGCGCUCUUGGGUUCUCCCAGGAGCAUGUCUGUCUGAGUGUCGCAUUGUCAUCCAUC
rnacentral:rRNA from 1 species